AACAAUUUUGAAAUGAAAUGGUGAGGUAAAGUGAAAGUCACGGGAGUGCAAUGUCGUCUGUUACUUCGUGUAGGACACAAAUGGCCACACAAGGAGUUUUCAGUGGAAAAUAACUACAUUUAUUUGCAAUUGGAAACUGAUCCAGGUUUUUCGUAUGUCUCCUUGAAAUGUGACAUGAUCAAUCACUCACACAAUCUACUUGUUGAUUCUGAUACAUAUUUUUCAAAUUUGUUAUCUGCCCAGGUU
rnacentral:lncRNA from 1 species